rnacentral:rRNA from 1 species
GGAUGCGAUCAUACCAGCACUAAAGCACCGGAUCCCAUCAGAACUCUGAAGUUAAGCGUGCUUGGGCGAAAGUAGUACUAGGAUGGGUGACCUCUUGGGAAGUCCUCGUGUUGCAUUCCC